rnacentral:rRNA from 1 species
UACAGAGGUCCCAAGCGUUGUUCGGAUUCAUUGGGCGUAAAGGGUGCGUAGGCGGCGCGGUAAGUCGGGUGUGAAAUCUCGGGGCUUAACUCCGAAACUGCAUUCGAUACUGCCGUGCUUGAGGACUGGAGAGGAGACUGGAAUUUACGGUGUAGCGGUGAAAUGCGUAGAUAUCGUAAGGAAGACCAGUGGCGAAGGCGGGUCUCUGGACAGUUCCUGACGCUGAGGCACGAAGGCCAGGGGAGCAAACGGG